rnacentral:rRNA from 1 species
GAUGAACGCUGGCGGCGUGCCUAAUACAUGCAAGUCGAGCGAGCGGACGAGAAGCUUGCUUCUCUGGUGUUAGCGGCGGACGGGUGAGUAACACGUGGAUAACCUACCUCUAAGGCUGGGAUAACUUCGGGAAACCGGAGCUAAUUCCGGAUGACAAUUUGAACCGCAUGGUGCAAAAGUGAAAGACGUUCUUGCUGUCACUUAUAGAUGGAUCCGCGCUGCAUUAGCUAGUUGGUAAGGUAACGGCUUACCAAGGCAACGAUUCAUAGCCGACCUGAGAGGGUGAUCAGCCACACUGGAACUGAGACACGGUCCAGACUCCUACGGGAGGCAGCAGUAGGGAAUAUUCGGCAAUGGGCGAAAGCCUGACGCAGCAACGCCGCGUGAGUGAUGAAGGUCUUCGGAUCGUAAAACUCUGUUAUUAGGGAAGAACAUAUGUGUAAGUAACUGUUCACAUCUUGACGGUACCUAAUCAGAAAGCAACGGCUAACUACGUG